UUUUUAUAUUGUAGCAUUGCCUCGUGUGUCUUCUGCCUUUGCAGAGAGAAGAUUAUUCUGCUCCUCAGACCAUAGUAGCAUUUGGUACAGCUAUGAAGUGUUCACAGUUGCUCGUUUCGAUUAUCAUGCUCGUGUUUACGUCAAAGGUCAGCUCUGGUUUGAGUACACACAGCCAUAUAUUCCUUGUGAGGAUAUCAAAAUCUGUUACAUCAUCAAAGGAGAAACACUGCAUGAAACCUGUCCAUUUUAUUUUAAAAGAAAAGGAUUUUUCGCUACUCAGGUGAGAUGUCUGUACCCAUUUUAUUAUAAACAAGAUUUUAUCAAUUGUUCCUGUAGCUUUACUAGUAUAA